UAAGCCUGCGAAGGUGGCCUGUGAGGGUUGCUGGAGGUAUCAGAAGUGCGAAUGCUGACAUAAGUAACGAUAAAGCGGGUGAAAAGCCCGCUCGCCGGAAGACCAAGGGUUCCUGUCCAACGUUAAUCGGGGCAGGGUGAGUCGACCCCUAAGGCGAGGCCGAAAGGCGUAGUCGAUGGGAAACGGGUUAAUAUUCCCGUACUUGGUGUUACUGCGAAGGGGGGACGGAGAAGGCUAUGUUGGCCGGGCGACGGUUGUCCCGGUUUAAGCGUGUAGGUGUGUGUUCCAGGUAAAUCCGGUUCACUUUAACACUGAGGCGUGACGACGAGGCACUACGGUGCUGAAGCAACAAAUGCCCUGCUUCCAGGAAAAGCCUCUAAGCAUCAGGUAACAUCAAAUCGUACCCCAAACCGACACAGGUGGUCAGGUAGAGAAUACCAAGGCGCUUGAGAGAACUCGGGUGAAGGAACUAGGCAAAAUGGUGCCGUAACU
rnacentral:rRNA from 4 species